rnacentral:rRNA from 1 species
GACGAACGCUGGCGGCGUGCUUAACACAUGCAAGUCGAACGCGGUGGCGAACGGGUGAGUAACGCGUAAUCAACCUGCCCUCAGAGGGGUACAACAGUGGGAAACGACUGCUAAUACCGCUUACUGAAGGAGGGGCUUGCGUGUGAUUAGCUAGUUGGAGGGGUAACGGCCCACCAAGGCGAUGAUGAAGAGCCGGGCUGGGAGGAUGAUCGGCAACAUUGGGACUGAGACACGGCCCAGACUCCUACGGGAGGCAGCAGUGGGGAAUCUUCCGCAAUGGACGAAAGUCUGACGGAGCAACGCCGCGUGAGUGAUGACGGCCUUCGGGUUGUAAAGCUCUGUUAAUCGGGACGCGGUACCGGAAUAGAAAGCCACGGCUAACUACGUGCCAGCAGCCGCGGUAAUUC